GAUGAACGCUGGCGGCGUGCCUAAUACAUGCAAGUCGAGCGAAGCGGGGACGGGUGAGUAACACGUGGAUAACCGCCGAUAAGACUGGGAUAACUCCGGGAAACCGAGGUAAAACGGGAUAUUGAUAGAUGAUUCCUAGCUGCAUUAGCAAGUUGGUAAGGUAACGGCUUACCAAGGCAACGAUGCAUAGCCGACCUGAGAGGGUGAUCGGCCACACUGGAACUGAGACACGGUCCAGACUCCUACGGGAGGCAGCAGUAGGGAAUCUUCCGCAAUGGGCGAAAGCCUGACGGAGCAACGCCGCGUGAGUGAUGAAGGUCUUCGGAUCGUAAAACUCUGUUAUUAGGGAAGCGGUACCUAAUCAGAAAGCCACGGCUAACUACGUGCCAGCAGCCGCGGUAAUUC
rnacentral:rRNA from 1 species